UGGAAAACACGAACCCUGGAAUUUGGAGGAGUCACUUCCACUGGAAAAUACUUUUAUAUUAUUUAUAGUGGCUACCAUUACCGUGCUCACUUUACAGGUGAGGUUCAGAGAUUUAUGUAACAUGCCAAAGGUCACACAGCUGGACACAGCAGAACCAAGAUUCAAAUCUGCACAGGACAUCUUGAAAAGACUAUCAUCUGUAAACCAGGAAGAGGGCCCUUUUCAGACACUGAAUCUUCUGGCACCUUGCUUUUGGACAUUCCAGCCUCCAGAACUGUGAGAAAUAAAUGUCUGUGGUUUAAGCCACCUGGUCUAUGGUAUUUGUUAUGGCAACCCAAGCUGACUAAGACAGUAGGGUUUGUAAAAUUAUGUGAAUUUUUUGUUUGGCAUUUAACGAUAUGUUUUGAAAUAAGAAAAUGAUAACAUGAAAAUAAGACUCAGUCUCAAACCUAAUGGAACUAGACACAAGGAAGAGAAGUAGGUAGGCUGAAAGGGUGACAUUUAGUCUCAAUUGGACACACAAAGUGUGCAGAUGUGAGUCUAAUUUGAAGUAAAAUGACAGAAUUAAUAACUAUAUAUAAGUGGUGGAUAAAUAGCUUCAAUGAUUACAUCAACAAAGUGCAUCAUGUUGCAGGUCCAUCGUAUAUGUGCAUCUUGAAUAAAUUUAUUUCCUUCGUAUAACUGUCAUUUCCAUUGUCUGACAUAUUUAGGGAUUUUAACGUGGUAUGAAAAUAGGGCACUUUCUGUGGUUAUAGUCAUAAUCAUAGCAAUGGAUUAGUAGUAGCAGAAGUUCCAGUAUUAGUAGAAAUAGUGAAAAACAGUACAACAGCAGUAAAGUAAAAUAACGCUAUUGUAUUACAUUAAAUGUGAUAAUGCACACAACGUUCUAUAACCUAUUAAGCUUGAGACAAAUGUUAAUUAUUUUCUGCAUUGUUGUAUGGUCUCCAUUUUGCAAUAAAUGCUCAAUUA
rnacentral:lncRNA from 1 species